UGGGGAAUUUUGGACAAUGGGCGAAGCCUGAUCCAGCCAUGCCGCGUGCAGGAUGAAGGCCCUCGGGUUGUAAACUGCUUUUGUACGGAACGAAAAGACUCUGGUUAAUACCUGGGGUCCAUGACGGUACCGUAGGAAUAAGCACCGGCUAACUACGUGCCAGCAGCCGCGGUAAUACGUAGGGUGCAAGCGUUAAUCGGAAUUACUGGGCGUAAAGCGUGCGCAGGCGGUUAUAUAAGACAGAUGUGAAAUCCCCGGGCUCAACCUGGGAACUGCAUUUGUGACUGUAUAGCUAGAGUACGGCAGAGGGGGAUGGAAUUCCGCGUGUAGCAGUGAAAUGCGUAGAUAUGCGGAGGAACACCGAUGGCGAAGGCAAUCCCCUGGGCCUGUACUGACGCUCAUGCACGAAAGCGUGGGGGGCAAACAGGAUUAGAUACCCUGGUAGUCCACGCCCUAAACGAUGUCAACUGGUUGUUGGGGUCUUCACUGACUCAGUAACGAAGCUAACGCGUGAAGUUGACCGCCUGGGGGUAGGUACGG
rnacentral:rRNA from 1 species